CCAAGUGACCACGUUAUCUCUCGUUCUCUCUCCUUUCUUCUCUCGUCUGCUAGCUCUCAUCUCCUGCUCUGGGACACACCAUUGCAGGCCAGAGCAAUGAAGAUUAGGUUUGUCCUUCUAGAUCCGGUCUCUUCCCCCUCGCUCCUGUCACUGGAUCGGGAGUUGGUCGUCGCGGGGCUGGGGUUGAGAGGAGGGGUGGGGGAGGGGGCGGGCUGGUUGUUGUAGAGAUACGGGGGGUGUCACCAAUAGCGCCAAGAAGGUUGAGGGGAUGGAGGAGAUGUGGCGGUAGCGGCCGGCGGUGAUGAAGAGGUGGCGGAUUUCCUCCCUGCACGCGUAUCUCUGUCCUCUGAGUACAAAUUUGUGGUGGCUUCCUUUGCCUUCUCCUACAGCGACCACCACCCUCCUCCUCAUUUCUCCCACCUCGAGUGCGUCGCUGCUGUCACCCAUCCAGAGCGAUGAUCCAACCCCGAGGCCUAGACUUUUGUAUGGAUACAAUGUAUUAUGUCGAACCACAACCUUUGUACAGCGCUGAGGUAGGCCUGCUGUGCGGUGCUUCGCGUUGUGAAUCGAGGUGUAGCUUACGCGAUGGUGGCGGUCGUGAGAUGACAUUUUAUUUUCCUCGGUGGAUCUGAAUUUUUGGGAGUGGAUUGGAAGUUGAUUAUAUGUUUUAACUGCUGGAAAUAGGUAAGCUCUACGGACUCUUAAGCUACUAUAAGUUGUUUAGAUAACCAUAACAAAUACAUGUUUCAGUACAAUAUAUAUAAACAAAAUAUGGUAGUCAAUUAUCUAUUUCUGAUACAUUGAAGCAUGUCUCUGACAAUUUGGGGCAUACUGCUCUCACAUUCAUUCUCUUGGUACGUCAACAGCUCUACUAAAAAAUGCUUCCUUAGCUCGUAUUCAUCUUGUACAUGCAUUUAUUUAUGCAAGUGAUCAAGGUUACCACUGUAUGUGUAAAAAAAUAAUAGCAUUUAAAUGAUAAAUUCUAGUGUCAUGAUACUUUGCCUUUGUAAUUGGUAACUGCAAUUCUUCAUCAUUCCAUUUGCACAUGAAGAGGGACACAAGAUAACCAGAUAGUUCGCUAAGAAGAUUGAAUUGUUAAUUAAUUUUGUGUUAGGAAAUAAAAUAACUGGUGCUGCGCAUACCGCUCCCUAUCUCUUUGUCUUUUUCAUACAUUGGGAUCCAAGAGUGGGGAUGGUGAUGCAGACAGUGUGGCACCAACAUUAAACAUGUGGGAUGGAGCCGGUAAUCAUAAAAAGAAUUAUGUACUCCCUCUGGGUUGAUAAUACUUGUCGUUUGGACAAGGGCACGGUCUCAAAAAAACAAAUUUGACCAUUAUUUUUUAUUAUAAUAUGUAUAAAAGUGUUAACAAAUAUAUGAUUUUAUUAAAGUACUUUUUAAGACUAAUCUAUACAUGUAGUCAUUAUAUUUAAAAGACAAAUAUUUUAAAAAUGAUUCAUAAUCAAAGAUUCUAAAGUUUGACUUCACCCUUGUCUAAAACGACAAGUAUUAUCAGCCAGGAGGGAGUAGAUGAUUUCGUACUUCCAUCUCAAUAUUAUAAACAUAGUCCAUCUUAAAUUCCAUCUUUUUUUUCAUGAUUGAGUUAGUCUUUAGCACUGAAUCAUUAACAUUGUUUUGAGCACUGAAAAUAACUUAUUUUGCUGCAGCCUAGUUGUUAAAGACAUGUGCACCACUGAUGAUUUCCGUACUUCCAUCUCAAUAUUAUAAACAUAAAGUCCAUCUUCUUAAAUUCCAUCUUUUUUUUCACGAUUGAGUCAGUCUUUGUUGGGAGUUUAUGCAGGGUGCUUAGAAUAUUUGGUACUAUCCUUUAGAAUCAUUACACAAAUGCAACAGACUAUUUUCUGUCUUUGCUGAUGAUUGCUAAUGCAGCUCGAACUUAUGGGAGUAAAAAAGCCCUGAGAAUACUUUGCGUAUGCAUCUUGUUUGAUCGGGCAUUUUUCUUUGAUGCAACUUGAGUUUAUGUUUGUUGAUGACUGUCGUUGAUGGAGCUGCUCCUGCCAAGGUGGCCUUUUUGGCGAUGGAGUAGAACUGUCUGAAUUUUUUUAUCACACCACAAGAACGGAUUUUGUUUGUGGUACCAUUUUUUGUAUAUAUAAAACAUAUUUUGGUUGUAUAUAUAUAGAAUAGGAUGUAUCUACCGUUCUUGUGGUGUUGUUCAUGUGUUUGGAUGUAAUAUGGGGUGUCCUUGUGGUGUUUGGAUAAGGAUCUGUUGGAGUGGGCCUAAAUGUGCCAUGGGCCUGAACAGAUCUGGGGAGUAAAAUUGAGCUACGUGCUAGGGGAUCUGUUGGGGUGGGCCUGAAUGUACCAUGGGCCUGAACAGAUCUACGGACGUGAGAGGGAAUCGGAAAUUGUGGACCGAUCUGGGAGGGAGCGAUCUGGAAGGAAUUGGACAGAAAUAAUCGCGUGUGCACUCGGGAGGAAAUCGGACUAAAAAAUCGCAAUACAGGGUGUGAAUUGGAUUGAAAAAUCAUGCAUUACUGGGACGACGUACGAAAAAUCCCUGACAAAAACAUCUUAAACUUUUAUAAUAGGUAAAGACUAGAAAAAUACCCAUGCGUUGCUACGGGAGGAAAAGACCGUGGAAGCGGGCGUCGUUCUAUGGCAGAGUCCGUAAUGUCAACGAAGGAGUAAUCGUGGCGGAGCUGGUGGAGGUAGUGUCCAGACACCUUGGUGGUUGAUGGCACAUCGCCGACGAAGCUUAGUGCGGCCGACUACAGCAAGACGGCGUCAGGAGCUCUUGCCGGCAUGGCAAGGAAAAGCUUGCUGGCGGCAGCAAGAUGACGACGCACGGCUUGGGAGGGACAGAGCGGCAUGGAAUGAAACAAUUCACGUCCUUGGUGGCAUGUUUUGAAAGUGUUGCGAAUUGAGUGGCACAUCCUGAAGGUGGUGCAAAUCGAAUGGCAUCUUCUAAAAAUUCUCCUAAACCAUUUGUAAUAUGUGAUAAUACAAAUGCCGGCAUGUUUGCAAUGGAAAAAGAUACAAUUGCGUAUGUAAAUCGGGACAUGUUUAUAUGUGUUUUUAAGUGAGACCGUCAUAAAUUUUAAUAUCGAUUCGUCAGUUCCAACAAACAUAUUGUCAUGGGCGGAUCACCCAAAAAAUUCUUAGCCUAACACAUAAAUAUACGUAUGUGAGCAGAAACUUUUGAAAAAAAAGAAGAAAAAAAGCUCGUUUUUAAUAUAUUAUGAUGCAUAUUUGAUCCAUUUAUACUUUUAGCUUUGUUAUAUAUAAGUUGGAUCACCCAUAUAAAAGUUCGAGAUACGUCAUUGGUAUAGUUAAAUCUAUUAUUAAUUAGUCAUUUUCAUUUUUAAGGGAGUAUUGUUUCCAGUUUAUAAAUUAAUUACAUUUGAGGUCAAAUAGUAGUAUUUUUUUGCCUCAACAAAUUGAUUGAGAAAUGAGAAAAAUAAAAGGAAGAGAGGUCUGGUAGGAAAAAAAAUAAAGAAAGAAAGCAGAGCACGAGAACAGAUAAGUCAUAAGUCCCCAUUUUCACUUUCUCCUUCACUUUCCCCAAAUCCAUCCGCUCUCAUCCCGUGUCCUUUACUGCUGUCUAGCUGUCUCCCCCGAUUCAACUCCCCACCACCGGUCACCUCUAGCAUCGCUGUGCUUCUUCCCUGUCUGCUACCCCACACAACAAUCCUUGAGCUCCUUCCCUACUUGCUGCGCCCCAUCUUCCUCUCGUGGCGGCAUCCGGUUAUGCAUCUGGGCUACAGCUCAGCUCAAGUAGUUGACGGGGGCGGAGUGGCCUCGGCAGCGGCGUGGAGUGGAUUCGACGGUGAUGAUCUGCUUCCGAGCCAAGUCUGAUGCCGUGCACGGCCGCCUCCUGGUUCUCUUCCGCACGCAGCCAAGGCCACGACAGCGAGCCUCAACCUUGCGUGGCCCACGAGAAGCAGGCGCAAGGCCGGUUCAGGGUGACGGCUAGGGUGCGUGCAUGGUGGUGCUAAUUCUGUGCUCGCAUCACAUGAUGGCGGUGAUUUGCCAAAUUGGGUUUUGAAAUCAUGCAACGUGCGGCCGAAGAUAGAAACCGGUGAGACAAUGAUUCUGGUGGCUGGAGUUUUGCUUUAUUUGGGUUUGGGAUCUAAUUCGAGGAAAAUUUGGAAUUUAGGGUUUGUGCAAAUUGGGUAUUUUUUCUAGAACCAAUUUUUGUAUUUUUGUAUGUUGUAUAUAUGCAAGUUGUCCUAGUGUAACACGAACCGGUUUAAAUUUAGCCCAAUUUAUGUAAAAUCCUGAUCGGAACCGAUUUGGU